AUCAAGCUGAAGAGUCCCAGAUAGGACAAAACGUUUGUCCUGGAU
rnacentral:hammerhead_ribozyme from 1 species